UGUUGUCGACGCCCUGAUACUGAUGUUUGCAGCAUAUUACUGCCUCAACAUCAGUUAUCGCUCAGAACUGGGAGCUACCCUGGAGUUCUUGCAGAGUGGUGUGCUUUGGCUCCUCCCUAAAAGCCCAAACUCACUCUUAGCCAAUCGGUGGUAUGUUUACUUCAGCUCAAUGAAAAUGACGGAAAGAGGGCCCUUUGUCGACAACAAAAGAAAACCUGGUGCCUAUUCAAGAUCAAUCCGGACAAUGGGACUAGAGUGGAGAGGAAGGAAUACAAACAAAAACAGCACUCGAUAAAGAUAAAGAUUUCAUGAAGUUUGCUGACGACACGAC